rnacentral:rRNA from 1 species
CGCAAAUAUAAGUCGCUUGGAAAAGCGCACCACAGAGGGUGAGAGUCCCGUUUAUAAUUUGCAGCCUUGUGUGUACGGCACGCUGUGCAGAGUCACGUUCCUUGGGAAUGGAGCGCAAAGUGGGUGGUAAAUUUCAUCUCAAGCUAAAUAUGAAUCUGAGACCGAUAGCAAACAAGUACCAUGAGGGAAAGGUGAAAAGUACUUUGAAAAGAGAGUUAAAAGUGCCUGAAAUUGCUGGAAGGGAAGCGAAAGGAACCAGCCCGCAUGGUAAGAUUGUCGUGUGAGCUUCUAAAGCCGCACAAUGCAUCUGGCCAUGGCAAUCGUCGGUGGUUGUCAGCCGGGGAUACAAGCAGCUCUUCCUAGCUUCUUUCGAGAUUGCGGAAGCGUUGCUUAAACCCGCUUGGCGAUUAUUUCCCUAUCUGGAGUUGGUGUAAGUUUCGCGCUUGCAUUCAAACCGGAUGCUCGACGAUCAAAUGGUUCUUCUCGACCCGUCUUGAAACACGGACCAAGGAGUCUAGCAACUGUGCGAGUUCAUGGGAUAUAAACCUAUGUUCGCAACGAAAGUGACUGCUGAGAUAUUUCCACCAGCAACCGACCAAUCAAUUGAGUGCGGUUUGAGUGUAAGCAUAUUUGUUAGGACCCGAAAGAUGGUGAACUAUGCCUGUGAAGGGUGAAGCCAGGGAAACUUCUUGGAGNAGC